rnacentral:rRNA from 1 species
AACGAACGCUGGCGGCAUGCCUAACACAUGCAAGUCGAACGAGACCUUCGGGUCUAGUGGCGCACGGGUGCGUAACGCGUGGGAACCUGCCUUUAGGUUCGGGAUAACAGUUAGAAAUGA